UACGUGAGGGGCAAGCGUUGUCCGGAUUUAUUGGGCGUAAAGAGCGUGUAGGCGGCCUUACAGGUCAGCUGUGAAACUCGAGGCUCAACCUCGAGACGUCGGUUGAAACCGUAAGGCUAGAGUCCGGAAGAGGAGAGUGGGAAAUUCCCGGUGAUAGCGGUGAAAUGACGCAGAUAUCGGGAAGAACACCCGUGGCGAAGGCGGCUACUCGUGGGACGGUACUGGACGCUGA
rnacentral:rRNA from 1 species